GGUGCCUGCGCCUCUGCUGUGUUCCUGUCUGCGGCUCCAUGUGACUGCUCAGUUGGCUCCUAUAUGGGCUUGAUGGAGAAAUUACUGGAUCACCAGUUCCCAGCCAGCCAUAGAUCUGGGAAUGUGACCUGGUUCAGAGGCAUCUGGGAAUGGGAUACGGAGACUUUCAUCUCUAGGACACGAGCUCCAAUACAGCCCACCAUCAAGGGCACUGGAUGGAUCAAGGAAGCACUAGGAGAAAAGAUUCCUUGGUUCUGCUCCUGACAGUGAUACCUAAAUGCUACUUAAUUAAAAACAGGUUGGAUCUCCUAGCGACUGGACCCCUUGUGUGAACUUUGACCACUGAUCUGGACUGUCCUUUGACCUGCUUGACUCCUGGGCAUUACAGCUUAGCACAAUGGGCUCCUGAUCAAUGAUGGGGGCUCCUAGGAACUACUGUAAUACAAAUAAUUAAAAAAAAAUAAGAUGCACGUCUGCAAUCAUUGAGGAAGGGAGAGGAAUUUUUCUAG